GGGACUAACUCAGGAUGUGAAUCUGCGCUGUAUGGCGCCGAAUUGUGGUCUAUAGACUUUGACGUUAUCUGCCGGGCCAAGUUCCUUGGAAAAGGACAGCUGAGAGGGUGAGACUCCCGUCCGCCUGGUAGAGUGAGUCGUUGUCAACGAGUCGAGUUGUUUGGGAUUGCAGCUCUAAUUUGGUGGUAAAUUCCAUCUAAAGCUAAAUAUUGGUGGGAGACCGAUAGCGUACAAGUACCGUGAGGGAAAGAUGCAAAGAACUUUGAAAAGAGAGUUAAAGAGUACCUGAAAUUGCUGAAACGGAAGCGAAGGAAACCAGUGUUUGUUGGUUCAUAUUUCCCUGGCCACUUGUGGUUUGGGCGCUGUGAGCUUGCGUGGGUUUGCUUUGGUUGAUCCCUUUGGAAGAGCGCAGUCAGAGUUGAUGUCUGUUGCUAGCACUGGGUUUGACUAAUGCAGACGAAAUGGUUUUCUUUACCCCGUCUUGAAACACGGACCAAGGAGUCUAACAUAUGUGCGAGUACAGGGGUGUCAAACCCCGGUGCGUAAUGAAAGUGACAGUGGUUGGAUAUUUGCACAAUCCGCCGGCCUCAAUCCUUCGGGAGAACGGUCUGAGUGUGAGCAUACAUGUUGGGACCCGAAAGAUGGUGAACUAUG
rnacentral:rRNA from 1 species